rnacentral:rRNA from 1 species
UACGGAGGAUGCGAGCGUUAUCCGGAUUUAUUGGGUUUAAAGGGUGCGUAGGCGGGAUGCCAAGUCAGCGAUAAAAAUGCGGUGCUCAACGCCGUCGAGCCGUUGAAACUGGCGUUCUUGAGUGGGCGAGAAGUAUGCGGAAUGCGUGGUGUAGCGGUGAAAUGCAUAGAUAUCACGCAGAACUCCGAUUGCGAAGGCAGCAUACCGGCGCCCUACUGACGCUGAGGCACGAAAGCGUGGGUAUCGAACAGG